rnacentral:lncRNA from 1 species
GGGGCGGAUCCAGGAAUUUGGAAAGGGGGGGCGAAGUUUAAAAAUUUCGCCGAGCGGAGCGAGGCAAAAAAAUUUUUGGACCCUUUUGGGCAAAAAAAAACAUAAAAUAAGUGUAAUAUGCACUAUUUAAACGGUUCCUGACUUGGGGCAUGUAUAUUUUAUAGUUGAUGUAAAGUGUAAGGGUUGGACAUGUUUUAUCGGCUGUAUUCUCCCUAUUAAUUGUCUAUAAUAAAAUGAUAGUAUUGAUCCAAAGCUAUUGUACUACUGAUAUAUUUGAUGUAAGACUCGUCAGUAAAAAAUAGACAUGGAAAUUCGAUGAAAUUUACAAUACGACCG